rnacentral:lncRNA from 1 species
AGGUCUGGCCAGAGACUAAUGAGAAAUUCCAAGGCUAUUUUACAAGGUUUUAAUGAAGAAUGCAUUUCCUUUAGUGCACAGGGGAAGGCAGAAGGAAGCUGUGUGCCAAGAGAUAGUUGCUGCCAAUGCCAACGGCAGCUAUUUACUGAGUGUCUCUCCUGUAUAUGGAGCCCUGUGAGAUGUCUGUGGCAAUGGCUCUCAACUGGGGUCCAUUUUGCCUCCUUCUCCUUCCCAGAAAACAUUUGGCAGUAUCUGGAGACAUUUUUAAAUUGCCAUGACUAGGGGGUGCUACUGGCAUCUAGUGUGUGGAGGCCACGGAUGCUGCUAAACAUCUUAUAGUCCACAGGACAGCCCUCCAACAACAAAGAAUCAUCCAGUGCAAAACAUCAAUAGUAUGAGGGCUUGAGAAUCCCUAGUCUGUGGAAAUGAAGACAUGCCGAACAUAGCCUCUUCCCCCAUGGAGUAAAAGCAAGACAAAGGGAAAUUGAGAUAAAAUAUGUGUAUAAUGAGGCACGAAACAGAGAGGGGUCUGCCUUGUCUUUCCACCAUAUGCAAUGUGUCAUAGAGCAAAGCUGUUCAUAAUAAGAACGAGCACUUACCAUGGGGAGUGAGGACCCCUAGCACAAGCAUGGACAGAAGAAGAGAUGAGGGUCACAGAGUUCCCUGGGGUUUGGGGUUGGGUCCUGUUUUUCUAUAUCUUCUAUCCCCCUAAGGAGAGAUCUCAUCCAGCACCGUGAACUUUAAAUAACCUCUUUAAACUGAUAAUGCUCAUAUUUCUGUCUUAAUCUCAAGCAUUUCCUCUGACAUUUAGACUCACGUACUCAAACAGGUGAUCUUAUAUUUCUGUGUGGCUAUCCCUUAAACGUCUGUAACUCAAUGUGUCCAAAAUGGACCAUUUGAUUUUCUCUUUCAAACUUGUUCCCUUCCCCCAAGUAUUCCCUCUUCCAGCAAGUAUGCACCAUCCUGCCAAUUGUUCAGGAUAGGAACAUGAUUCUUCUCAUUUUCCAAAUACUUAUAUCUGACCUAUUAUAAAGUUUAUGGAUCCUACCUUUUAAAUAUAUCUCAAAACCUCCUUCUUUAUGCCAUCUCUUCUGUCACUUUCCUAGUUCAGGCUGCCAUGACACGUAGAUCCAAAGAUGAACUUCCUCAGUGGUUCACCUUCAUCCUUCCCCUCUUGCCCUGCCCCAUUCAAUCUAUACAUGAUACCGACAUAUAAAAUGGAUCAUGCCAUUUCAUUGCAAUAAACCUUUAAAUGUCAUCAUUCCUUUUACACUAUGAUCUGCAUGCCUUACCUGGCUUCCAAAUCCCCAUGUGGUUCAGGGGGUUAAUCCAUUAUGACUGGUGUCAUUAUAAGAAAAUAGAAACACACAGGGAGAAGACAGUCAUGUGAUGACAGAGGCAAAGAUUGGAGUGGUGCAUCAACAAGACAGGGAGCAUCAAGAAUUGCUAACAAACACCAGAAGCUAAAAAAGACAAGGAAGGAUUCUCCUCUGUAGUUUUCAAGGCCCUGUGGACACCUUGAUUUGGACUUCUAGGCUCCGGAACUCUGAGACAAUACAUUUCUGUUGUUUUAAGCCCCCAGUUUGUGGUUCUUUGUUGCAGCUGCCCUAGCAAGUUAGCGCAGAUGUAUCACUCCCACCUCCCUUCAGACAUGCUGUCUAUCUUCCUCUUACUCAACACGUCAAGCUCACUUUCUCUAGAGGCCUUUAUUUUAGCGGUUCUCUCCCUCCGGAAAAAUGUGUGUUCCCUUGGUGUUCACAGGCUGGAGUACACUGGCAUGAUCAGUGGACUGAUAUUCCAUGAAUAUUUUUUGAAUGAAGGUAUCAGUUUAAAAAAAAGAAAAGAUAUCUGCCAAAGUGAAGCUGGUUUGAGUGACUGGACCAUAGGGAAUAGGCUGUGAAUAAUUCGACUGGGUCUUUGAGAUGGAGAGGGUAGAGACCUUCUGAUGAAAGGAGUAGGGGUUUUUCAAAGAAGAUUACCCUCCCAUGGGUGAGAAGGAUCUUAGCUCAUGUUGGAUGUUUGACCUUUGCUAGGAGGGGACAUAAUUGGUUGUGUUCCAUCAAGCCCACCCUUUUUCCUCUACAAAUAUUUGUGCUGUGAGCUCUCCCUCUCCCAGGCCUAAUGGGAGAAAGGGAGAGCCAGCACACGAGCUCUGGGCCUAAUGGAGACAUUGCAGUGCUAUUAGCACAGAUGGUUGUCAUAUGUAUGCAAAUGAGAAACAAAUUGAAUUUGGUGUCCCCUCUCACCAGCUGUCCUAUCAAGGAAGGUUCCCAGAGCAGCAAAAGAACUGCUGCUACCCCGCUAAUCUGUCACCACAGAUUAAUUACAACAAGUACAUUAAUCACCAUUUGUUUCUAGUACAAAGGGAAAUAUCUUGUUUUUCAAGUACGUCCUGUUAAAAGAAGGUGUCCAGCCUUGUAGAAACAAGGCCUGACAAGGGCAUGAAGCUUCAUUAGCUAGGAAUGAGGGGCAAAUGAAAGAUGAAACACC